UUAGUGUAUUUCCGCGACGAGAACGUGAAGGCUAUGUUCAACGUGCACCAUAAGAACUCAGCCACAAAUGUCUUGGAUUAUGACUCUACAAAGUGGCACCAAGAACAAUGGCAAGACGACAAGCUUACGUCAAGGCCCAUGUGCUCCGAUUGUUCGAAUUUUGAAGGCAUUUCCUCGAGUGCCGCUGCAGCUGCCCAGAAGAAAGUGACACAAGACAUAGUUGCCUUGGCAAAAUGGUCGCCGACAUCAUGAAGGGCCAGCAUAAGCAUUUGUAGUUUUGAUUAUGAAAAUAUAUUUGAACGUAUGCCUCA